rnacentral:rRNA from 1 species
CGAAGGGGCUAGCGUUGUUCGGAUUUACUGGGCGUAAAGACGCACGUAGGCGGAUUGUUAAGUCAGGGUGGAAAUCCUGGAGCUCAACUCCAGAACUGCCUUUGAUACUGGCAAUCUAGAGUCCGGAAGAGGUGAGUGGAACUCCUAGUGUAGAGGUGGAAUUCGUAGAUAUUAGGAAGAACACCAGUGGCGAAGGCGGCUCACUGGUCCGGUACUGACGCUGAGGUGCGAAAGCGUGGGGGAGCAAACAGGAUU